rfam:Felis catus isolate Cinnamon breed Abyssinian chromosome D3, whole genome shotgun sequence.
GCCUGGGUGGCUCAGUUGGUUGAGCAUCCGACCUCGGCUCAGGUCAUGAUCUCACAGUUCGUGGGUUCGAGUCCCGCGUCGGGCU